GAUGAACGCUGGCGGCGUGCCUAAUACAUGCAAGUCGAGCGGGGUUAUGGAAGCUUGCUUCUAUAACUUAGCGGCGGACGGGUGAGUAACACGUAGGCAACCUGCCCACUACUCUGGGAUACCUACUGGAAACAGUAGUUAAUACCGGAUAAACUAGCAGAACCGCAUGGUUCAACUAGAAAAGAUUUAUCGGUAGUGGAUGGGCCUGCGUCUGAUUAGCUAGUUGGUGGGGUAAAGGCCUACCAAGGCGACGAUCAGUAGCCGACCUGAGAGGGUGAUCGGCCACAUUGGGACUGAGACACGGCCCAAACUCCUACGGGAGGCAGCAGUAGGGAAUAUUGCACAAUGGGGGAAACCCUGAUGCAGCAACGCCGCGUGUAGGAAGAAGGUUUUCGGAUCGUAAACUACUUUAGUCUGGGAAGAAUAAAAUGACGGUACCAGAAGAAUAAGCCCCGGCUAACUACGUGCCAGCAGCCGCGGUAAUACGUAGGGGGCAAGCGUUAUCCGGAAUUACUGGGUGUAAAGGGUGAGUAGGCGGUUAGAUAAGCCAUAAGUGAAAGCCUGGGGCUCAACUCCAGCGAGCUUAAGGAACUGUUUAACUAGAGUACGGGAGAGGUAAGUGGAAUUCCUAGUGUAGCGGUGGAAUGCAUAGAUAUUAGGAGGAACACCAGUGGCGAAGGCGACUUACUGGACCGAAACUGACGCUGAGUCACGAAAGCGUGG
rnacentral:rRNA from 1 species